rnacentral:snRNA from 1 species
AUCGCUUCUCGCCUUUUGGCUAAGAUCAAGUGUAGUAUCUGUUCUUAUCAGUUUAAUAUCUGAUACUCCCCUAACCCGGACCAUAUAUUAAAUGAUUUUGGACUUGGAGAGGAACAGGCUUGCUCCGUCCACUCCACGCAUCGACCCGGUAUUGCAGUACCUCCGGGAACGGUGCACCCUCC